UACGAAGGGGGCUAGCGUUGUUCGGAAUCACUGGGCGUAAAGCGCAUGCAGGCGGAUCGCUAAGUCGGGGGUGAAAGCCCGAGGCUCAACCUCGGAACUGCCUUCGAUACUGGCGAUCUUGAGUCCGGGAGAGGUGAGUGGAACUGCGAGCGUAGAGGUGAAAUUCGUAGAUAUUCGCAAGAACACCAGUGGCGAAGGCGGCUCACUGGCCCGGUACUGACGCUGAGAUGCGAAAGCGUGGGGAGCAAAC
rnacentral:rRNA from 1 species